AUUGAACGCUGGCGGCAUGCUUUACACAUGCAAGUCGAACGAGUGGCGGACGGGUGAGUAACAUAUGGGAAUGUACCUAAUAGUGGGGGAUAACUACUCGAAACUUUAGCUAAUACCGCAUACUAUUGGAUGGGCCCAUGUGGGAUUAGGUGGUUGGUGGGGGAAAGGCUUACCAAGCCGACGAUCAGUAGCGGGUCUGAGAGGAUGACCGGCCACACUGGGACUGAGACACGGCCCAGACUCCUACGGGAGGCAGCAGUGGGGAAUUUUGGCCAAUGGGCGCAACCCUGAUCCAGCCAUGCCGCGUGAAUGAAGAAGGCCUUCGGGUUGUAAAGUACUUUCGUUAGCGAAGCGGUAACUAAAGAAGAAGCACCGGCUAACUACGUGCCAGCAGCCGCGGUAAUAC
rnacentral:rRNA from 1 species